GCGUGCUUACACAUGCAAGUCGAACGCUGAAGCUCAGCUUUUGUUGGGUGGAUGAGUGGCGAACGGGUGAGUAACACGUGAGUAACCUGCCCUCUUCUUUGGGAUAACGCCCGGAAACGGGUGCUAAUACUGGAUAUUCACUGGCCUUCGCAUGGGGGUUGGUGGAAAGGUUUGUUCUGGUGGGGGAUGGGCUCGCGGCCUAUCAGCUUGUUGGUGGGGUGAUGGCCUACCAAGGCUUUGACGGGUAGCCGGCCUGAGAGGGUGACCGGUCACAUUGGGACUGAGAUACGGCCCAGACUCCUACGGGAGGCAGCAGUGGGGAAUAUUGCACAAUGGGCGAAAGCCUGAUGCAGCGACGCCGCGUGAGGGAUGGAGGCCUUCGGGUUGUAAACCUCUUUCGCUCAUGGUCAAGCCGCAACUGUGGGUUGUGGUGAGGGUAGUGGGUAAAGAAGCGCCGGCUAACUACGUGCCAGCAGCCGCGGUAAUACGUAGGGCGCGAGCGUUGUCCGGAAUUAUUGGGCGUAAAGGGCUUGUAGGCGGUUGGUCGCGUCUGCCGUGAAAUUCUCUGGCUUAACUGGGGGCGUGCGGUGGGUACGGGCUGACUUGAGUGCGGUAGGGGAGACUGGAACUCCUGGUGUAGCGGUGGAAUGCGCAGAUAUCAGGAAGAACACCGGUGGCGAAGGCGGGUCUCUGGGCCGUUACUGACGCUGAGGAGCGAAAGCGUGGGGAGCGAACAGG
rnacentral:rRNA from 1 species